CUUCCCACUGUGAGCAACUGGAGAAUACGGAAUGUGUCAUAUAUACAUAUAUCUCCAGUGCCUAGCAACUGGUAAACAGUAGAAGCUCCAGAAAUACAUGUUAAAGUGAAGUAGAAUUUCCCUUUUCCUAGAUGGUUCCAACGAAUUCACACAGGUUCAAACACCAGUUUGUCUCCUCACGCCCCCACUUUUCUUCUAAGAGGUAGGUGCAACAUUGAUUUCUGAGGAAAAAUCUGGCUUUCUUGGAAGUAUCCCCUCUUGGCCUGCGUUCCUGUGGAGAGUAGUGACAAGUUCCAACUCAUCGUUCAAGAUCACUUUGGAUGCUACAUGAAGAAUGAAUGGCAGGGAGCAAGGAGGCUACUGCGACGGUCUGGGCAAGUAGUGAUGAGGACUUGCCUGGAGUGAAGGCCCGGAAAAUGGGCUUGGGGUUAAGAUUACAGUGUAUCCUAGAAGGCUACUGAGCACGCUUACAGCAUGGAUGUGGCAGAUUUUAUUUAUUUAUCCAUGAGAGACACAGAGAGAGGCAGAGACACAAGCAGAGGGAGAAGCAGGCUCCAUGCUGGGAGCCCGAUGUGGGACUGGAUCAGGCCCUGAGCCCAAGGCAGAGGCUCAACCACGGAGCCCCCCAGGUGCCCCAGAUCUUUUCUACUGUUACAUAAAGUGUUACAUGGGAGCUGCCACAACAUGGACACAUGCUGCUCUUUCCUCCAACUUUCUCGAUUGCUCACUUUCCCCAUUUGGAAGGCUCAGGCCAGGCCCAAGAUCACCAGCUUGGUCAAUAGCUGUGCAGAAAGUUAUGUUUUGAAUGAGACUCCAACAACAGACAGCAAUUUGGCCACAGACAAAACUCUCUCCUCAUCUCCAUUUAAAAACCCUCGUAAGGAGGAGGACAUAUAACUGUCUGAAGAUUACAAUGACUUCUCUAAUAUGCUUCAUAAAAGAAAAGAACUAGCAUCUGAAUUUCCAAAAUGAGAGGCUCAGAUCUGGGUUACAGAAGAGAUAGGGUAAAAAGAAUAUACUCUGGGCUGCAAAGAUAGAAAACAGCAAGACGAUUAUAUGAACUGGAAGACCCCUACUCCUGAAGCAAGGUACUAAGGAAUAUAAUUCUUAUUUUUAUUUUUCACAUAAGUCUUCAGGAUAGGAUCUAUGAGGAGUUUAUGAUUUUUAAAGAUUUCUCAGGUAAUUUGAUCAGCCAAGUUGGGUAUCACUGUUCUGAAUUAACAGUGAAAUCCUGAAGCCAAGAAGGUUUGUACUCAUUUCUAGCACCCAAAGCAGUGCC